UACGUAGGGUCCGAGCGUUGUCCGGAAUUAUUGGGCGUAAAGGGCUCGUAGGCGGUCUGUUGCGUCGGGAGUGAAAACUUACAGCUUAACUGUGAGCGUGCUUCCGAUACGGGCAGACUUGAGGUAUUCAGGGGAGAACGGAAUUCCUGGUGUAGCGGUGAAAUGCGUAGAUAUCGGGAGGAACACCGGUGGCGAAGGCGGCGACCUGGGUAGAUACUGACGCUGAGGCGCGAAAGCGUGGGGAGCAAACAGG
rnacentral:rRNA from 1 species